rnacentral:lncRNA from 1 species
AUUGGAUGCUUCCUUAAUAAAAUUUUUCUUCGUGUACACUAUCUAUGGCCUCCGUUGGAACCAUUAAAAUCUCCGAAGAGGGAGAUAUGAUCAUGUUUUGCAUUAGCUUUGGGACCAAGCUUGAUUUUAAAUCUUGUUUCUAAGGUCCCUAAGUAGCCGUGGUCUCGUCUAUAUAUUUGUGUACGUACUGCCGUUUUAUAAGAAGUAAAGAAACCCAAGUAUUCUCUCUUCAUUUCAUCUUCUCCAUAGCUGGAAAACACCAACAGCGUUUUAAACUUCCACAGGUAAACAAUUGUAUUUGUAUAUACAUCAUUUUGAACUAUGCCUUCAGCCUAAGUUCUUGUUCCUNNNNNNNNNNNNNNNNNNNNNNNNNNNNNNNNNNNNNNNNNNNNNNNNNNNNNNNNNNNNNNNNNNNNNNNNNNNNNNNNNNNNNNNNNNNNNNNNNNNNNNNNNNNNNNNNNNNNNNNNNNNNNNNNNNNNNNNNNNNNNNNNNNNNNNNNNNNNNNNNNNNNNNNNNNNNNNNNNNNNNNNNNNNNNNNNNNNNNNNNNNNNNNNNNNNNNNNNNNNNNNNNNNNNNNNNNNNNNNNNNNNNNNNNNNNNNNNNNNNNNNNNNNNNNNNNNNNNNNNNNNNNNNNNNNNNNNNNNNNNNNNNNNNNNNNNNNNCAAGCAAGGCUAUACAAGAAAGACAGAAGUUAUGUAUAGCAGGCUGUUGCUCCAAGAACUGCAAAUCCAGCUACACAUUUGGGAGAAGUGUUGCAAGAAUUCUAAAAGAAGCGACUACUUUGAUCAAUGAAGGAGAUUUCAAAGAAGUGGUUAUGGCAGAACCAGCAAAUCAACUUCAAGCUAAUCUUGAAAAAUUGAAGACUUCAAGACAAGAAUUAUACGCAUUAAAGGAGGAUGUCAGGCAGAAUGUAGCGUUGGAGGAAGGGCCGGAAAAGAUGCUGCUGCAACAAGUUGGCUUGUGGCUUUCAAUGGCAGAAUCGACCAUAACUGAAGCGGAUGAGCUGAUACGAGAUGGUCCACCAGAAAUUCAAAAAUUGAGUCAUGGAGAUAUUUCCAACUACAGGUUUGUCGGAAGGGUCGCCAAAAAAUUAGAAGAUGUAGCCUUUGUAAAGGCCAAAGGAGUUUUCAAAGAAUUGGUUAGAAGAAUACCUGCAGAACCAGAUUACAUAAGUCAGCUUCAAGUUGAUCUUCGAGCUUUGGAGUCUAUAAUGAAAGAAUUAAAGGCUUUAAAGGAGGGAGUGAUGAUGAGGAUCACCUUGGAGGAAGGGCCACAAAAGAAGCAGCCACAAGUUCAACUUUGGCUCUCGAUGCUGGAACCAAUAGUGACUGUGGCGGAGGAGAUGAUAAGAAAUGGUCCACAAGAAAUUGAGAAAUUGCGUCGUAAAGACUUUUCCAGCUACGAAUUUGUGCGAAAGGUGGCCAAAGUGUUAGAAGAAGCAGUUGCUCUAAGAGCCAAAGGAGAAUUCAAAGAGAUGGUUGAGAGGGUACUUCCAGACCCAGUAGUUGAAAGGAAUGAAAAACCAACAUGUGGCAUGGAAGCGAUGUUAGGUGAUAUUUGGAGAUGGUUCACACAAGAUGAACUGGGCACUGUUGGCAUAUAUGGUAUGGGGGGUGUUGGCAAAACUACUCUCUUAAACCAAAUCAACAACAAGUUUGCUAGUACAACCCAUAAUUUUGAUGUUGUGAUUUGGGUGGUGGUGUCAAGAGAUUUGAAACCUGACAAGAUUCAAGAAGAUAUUUGGAAAAAGGUUGGCAUUUUUGAUGAGACGUGGGCAAAAAAAAUCCCCAGUGAGAAAGCAGAAGAUAUAUUUUAUAGGUUAAGCAGAACGAAGUUUGUAUUAUUUUUGGAUGACUUAUGGCAGAAGGUUGAUCUCAGAGACAUAGGGGUUCCUCUACAAAAAAAACAUGGGUCAAUGAUAGUAUUCACGACGCGUUNNNNNNNNNNNNNNNNNNNNNNNNNNNNNNNNNNNNNNNNNNNNNNNNNNNNNNNNNNNNNNNNNNNNNNNNNNNNNNNNNNNNNNNNNNNNNNNNNNNNNNNNNNNNNNNNNNNNNNNNNNNNNNNNNNNNNNNNNNNNNNNNNNNNNNNNNNNNNNNNNNNNNNNNNNNNNNNNNNNNNNNNNNNNNNNNNNNNNNNNNNNNNNNNNNNNNNNNNNNNNNNNNNNNNNNNNNNNNNNNNNNNNNNNNNNNNNNAAAUCUUGCUUCUUAUACUGUUCCUUAUUCCCGGAGGACUUCAAAUUUCUCAAGGAUGAUUUGGUACAUUAUUGGAUUUCUGAGAAUUUUUGCGCUCGAAAUGAAGGAUAUACUAUAAUUGGUUCACUUGUUCGAGUAUGCCUAUUGGAAGAAAAUGGAAAAUAUGUAAAAAUGCAUGAUGUGAUUCGUGACAUGGCUUUGUGGGUAGCAUGUAAAUAUGAAAAAGACAAGGAGAAAUUUUUCGUGCAAGUGGGUGCCCAAUUAACAAAAUUUCCAGCGGUCAAAGAAUGGGAAGGAUCAAAAAGAAUGUCGUUGAUGGCAAACUCCUUUAAAAGUAUCCCAGAAGUUCCUAGAUGCGGGGAUCUUUCGACUUUAUUCCUUGGUCAUAAUAGGUUUUUGGAGGAGAUCAGUGGUGAUUUCUUCCGGUAUAUGAAUUCGCUCACCGUUCUUGAUCUAUCAGAGACAUGUAUAAAGAAAUUGCCUGAGGGAAUUUCAAAAUUAACCUCAUUGCAAUAUCUUAAUCUGCGUAGUACACGUAUAACGCGGUUACCAGUUGAGUUGAAGUUAUUGAAAAAGCUGAAAUAUUUGAACUUGGAGCGUAAUGGCUUCCUAGAAAGUAUUUCAAGGGGAGGCAUAUCUAGUCUGUCAUCGUCACUGCAAAUUUUGAGAAUGUUCCAAGCCGGUAAUAUGGCUUAUGAAAAGUCGGUAAAUAACUUAUUGGGUGAAGGCAAUUUGCUAAUAGAGGAGCUCCAGUGUCUUGAAAAUUUGAAUGAACUGAGCCUGACAAUAAUAAGUGCCUCUAUGCUUCAGUUGUUUUCCAGCACCCAGACAUUACUCAACCGUACUCGAUCUCUACAGCUUAGAGGGUUCUACUUUCAAAGAUCUCUUAGUGUUUCUUCAUUAGCAAAUUUUAGGAACCUAGAGAUCCUGAACAUAUUUCAUACUUAUGAUUUAGAAGAGUUGAUCGUGGAUGUUAUGCUUGGUGAGAGUUCUACACAUCAUCAUACUAUCAGCAAGUCAAUGGUCUCAGCUCCAGUAUGCUUCAAUAGCCUCCGGGAAGUGAAUGUAUCGCGUAACUUCCGUCUGCGAGAGCUGACAUGGGUUGUUCUAAUCCCAAAUUUGGAAAUUUUGAUAGUGAGAUCCAAUAAGCAUAUGGAAGAAAUUGUAAGUGCUGAAAAGUUAAGUGAGCUUCAAGUUGGGAGUGAAAACAUGAACCUAUUUUCAAAACUCCAAGCUCUUAAAUUGUCUAAUUUACCAGAACUGAAAUGCAUAUAUAGGAAUGCUCUGUCUUUUCCACUUUUGAACAGAAUACAAGUACGUGAAUGCCCAAAGCUGGAGAAUAUACCAGAAGCACUGCAAGGUUGUGACUGACGCACAAGAACUAAUCUAAUGGAAACCUGUGCAAUAAAGAUUCAGAGGNNNNNNNNNNNNNNNNNNNCUGUUUGAGUUGUUUCCGCUUUGAUUGUAAUUUUGCAAUUGAGAUCCAAUUGGUUGGACUUGAUUGUAAUUACAUUUGAAUUUGAAUUGUCAAUUUAGUGCUUCCAUGGAAGAUCCUUAUAUUCCAAUUCACCUGCACCAAGAAGACCUGUACCAUGUUAGGCACAAUUUCACAGCUUCAGUCACUCUAUUAUGUUAUCAAAUAAAUUAGACUCAUAUAUAUAUGAAUAAUGAAUUAAAUUCAUCAGUUCAUUAAUAAGAAGAAGACAGAAGUAAAUUUCUUUCUUUUGAUCAUAAACUUCAACUACUGUCAAAGCCAUGCUCAAGCAUUUCUUUUGACCAUAUGGCUUUUAUUUGAUAUCAAACUUCACUGGUGCAAAGUCGAUCUCAGAUCUCCAUUAAUACAAAUGAUUCAGAGUAUAUACACAUCAGAAGUUAUAUCCAUCUUAAUAGAAUAUUAUACAUUAAUUUAAAUACAAAGAAAUUUACUAUAAUGGAGAAAAUGGAAUGAAAUGUAUGUUAGGAUAUAAUUAUAAUAAGUAUUAAUUUUGGGAGUUUCAUUGUAAUAAUUUGCAAAUACAAUUGAAAGUUAUUUUGUUACAGAGGUACUGAAUUGUUAUUAGUAAAUUGCUGAGAUGUAAGUUGAUGUGGCUUAUUUUAUCUGAUUGGGCGCCCCAUCAGCAGGCAUAUAUUAUAUAUAUACUCUUGUAAUGAGACAUUUUAGGGUUAAUGAAUGAAUACACUGUUUCCCUGAACACUUUUUUCUUCAAGUACUACGUUUAUAUAUUUAAUUUCUAUAAAAAUUCAACUUGUAAUAUCAUAUUUUUGACAUAAUUUCAAUAAAAUUCAAAUAACUUUGUUGGAAUACAAAUAAAAUUCAAAAAUCAAAAUUUUCCUUAACUAAAGAAAAGUUUAUUAUAUAUUAAUAUUAAAAAUUCAAAAAUUAUUCAUUUGGCUUGGCUCUCUCAAAAUUUAAAAAAUUUAUAUUCCAACUUAAUUCGACUCAGGCUCCACUUUAACUCUCUCUCUCUCUCCUAAUGAUCGUGUCUAAUUUUUUUUUUUCUUCUCUUAUUUUUUUGAAAAUUAGGACGAAAGUGAUUUUAUUUUAUUGUAAAAGGAAAUAAAUCUAUUUUGUCGCUAACUUGCACUCCACCUAACACCCAACGCAAAAGAGAAAGAGAACUUUACUUCUAACAUUGUUUUUAAUAGCAAGUGGCUUUUUGAUCCUUUUUUUAUAUUUUCGUACAAACAAACAAAAAAACAUUAGAUUUGAGUUGUUUACACAGUAAAAAUUAACACAAAAACGACAAAAAUGACUAAAAAAUUGGACCUCAUACCUUUCACUCUCAAUUUUCUUUAUAACAAUAGGAAACUAAAAAAUGACUAACACAAAAACGAGCAUAAGCAACACCCGCAAAAUCAUGCGGGAGCAAUGGAAAAAGACCUGCAGAUGGAGGAGAUUUAAUAGUAAAAUGUCUAAUAAAUAAUAUUCUAUUUUAGUUGAACUUGUUCUUCAUCCAUGUUUUUUUUUUUGUUUAGGUCUUAUGUUGAGUGUAUGGAUUGAUAGUAACUUAAUAAGAGAAAUUGUAGCUAAACCAACACUGUCUUGAGAUAUUGCUCAGAUAAUUUAAGCUUGCAUCUCAUGUCUUCAAAUCUUGAAUAAACAAAACUUUUGCCGAGGUAUCUACUGUACGGAAAUGGAGAAGAAGAGGAGAAUAUAAAAACAAAACAUAAACUCUUAACAACUAAAGACAGCAUAACGUUACAAAGAAAAAAACAGAUUUUACAUUAAAAAGACAAUGGCUUUUUUUUUUUUUUUCUUUACCUUUUCUUCAUAUUGCCGGCAUAACAUUUCCCCUCUCUCAACUCUCUCUUUCACACAUUAUCUUCCAUUUCCUUUGAUAAACAUUCUUUUACAGUAGUAAAAUGCAAAAUAGCUUUACUCUAAGUCAUUACCAACUCUCCUAUAAUUAAGGAAAUUUGUCUCCAUUGUUUCAUGCUAAAUUAAGCUCUUUCACAAGUUGGUGUGCAAGGCUCAUAGCAGCAUAUGUCACAUCACAUCCCAACAUCUACUAACUGAAUUUUAGAAUUGCAAUGUACAAGCUUGAUUUCUUUCACCUUCUCUAACGGAAUGAUAUUUUACCUUUGUUCUUCCAUGUAGAUUAGGUUGUGAGCUAUGGUUAUGACAGAUUUGAUAUCACAAUUUAGGAUAAUAGGCUCUAUUUGCUCCAUCAUCAGGUCUUGUAAAUUUUUUUCAGGUCAUAGAGCUUGAUUUAUAACAGCAACACUGCAACAUACUCUAGCUUCACUUUAGACGAAGCAAGCAUUUCUUGGUUCUUUGAAUUCUAGCAAAAAGGAUAUGAGCCAAAAAAGAACAAGUAACCUAAAGUGCUCUUCAAGCUUUAUAUUUGAGAUUUUAAAAUACCAAACACUAAGAUCAGUUUUACUUUUGAUGUAUAUUAAGACAUUCUUGACCACUUCCAGAUGAAAUUCAUUAGGAGAAUUCCUGAAUCUUGAAAGUAAACUCACUGAAAGACAUUAACAUAUAUAGGCCUUAUAGCAAUCAAACAAAGCAAGCUACUAAUUAGACUCUACAAAGAGAUGCUUCAACAUAUUUCCAUCAUCAUAUAUUUAGAUAAUUUUUCAUUUGAGGAUAAUGGAAUAACCACAGACUUGAAAUUUUUCAUGUGAAACAAUUUAACUAUAAUCUUUCUUUUGCAUUUGAAUAUUAAGGGAAAAAAAAAUCCCAAAGCUAGGUUAUUUAUCAUAUGAACAUGAUAUCGACUUCCCCUUAAUUUUAUAAUCCACAACUAGGUUGUUGUAAUACCGCCUCAAAAAAUAAUAGUAAAAAAAGACUUAUAUAUCUAAAAACAAUAGGAAUAAUAAUAAAAAAAAAAGACUACCCAUUCGAAAAAGAAUCCAAGAAUUGAGAAUUGUUUUAAUUAAUUGCAAGUGUCAUUUCUUUUCUAUAUUGCAAAGUGUCCAUUAUAUUUGACCCAUGUGUGAAAGAAAUAUUCUGUAUAUCUUAAAUGAAAAGCAUUUUGGGAAGUAAAAAAAAAAAAAAAUUAUAGUUUUAUUUUUGAAUACUACAUUAUUUAUUAUUUGCAAAUAAUAAUAUUAAAUAUAAGAUGAAUAAUGUUCUGAUACUUUGAUAUAUCUAAAAGGAAAUAUUUACUAUCCAACCAAGUAAUAAGUAAAAAAUAAAGAGUAAUUCUAGAAGAAAUAACAUCAAACUUUAAUAGUAAAAUAAAUAACAUCCAAGUUUUUUCACUUGAUAUGCUAAUCUGGGUUUAAAAUACAACUUAUAGAUUAAGUUUUCAUUAUUUUAUUUAUUAAUAGUAAUAAUUAAUAUCUUUAUUUUCAAAUUUUUUUUUUAAAAGCUUAAUUAUUAGUAUCAAAUGAAAUAAUUCAUUUAUAUCUGAUUCUCCCUUAGUAGUAGACAACUCAUGGUUGCACUAGACUAAAACAAUUUAUGCAUUUGAUGACAGCUUUAUUUCAAGCUAAUUGACUAUGAAACAACUAGAUAGAAAAUUUAAGUAUUACCAUUUUGAAGGAAGGGCCAAGGGAUGAUGUAGCCAAAUUCGAAUAUUCAUUGAGCUGAACAAAAUUAUUGUUGGAACCAUUAAUUAAAAUCUCCAAAGAGUUAGAUACGACAAUAGAAAUCUUUUGUCUUUUUAAACACUUAGGAGGGAGCGUUUUGCCCAUUUGUCUGGUCCCCACUGGUUCAUUAUCAAAUGAAGUCAAUUUUAACUUAAAAAAUUAGUAUUACCUGAAGUACCUUGUUGAAUUGCUACAGUUGCUAUACACUCCAGUUCACCAUAUUUUAUAUUUUAUAUCUUCUAGAACAUGCUGAUUUAAUCAUGUUUUGCUCUAGCUUUGGGACAAAGUUUGAUUUUAAAUCUUGUUUCUAAGGUCACCAAGUAGCUGUAGUCUCAUCUAUAUAUUUGUGUACAUACUGCAGUUUUAUAAGAAGUAAAGAAACCCAAAUAUUCUCUCUUCAUUUCAUCUUCUCCAUAGCUAGAAAACACCAACAGCCUUUUAAAAUUCCACAAGAAAACAAUUAUAUCUAGAUCAUUUUUGAACUAUGCCUUCAGCCUAAGUUCUUGUUCCUUCAUUAACCACUUCAUCUUUCUUUGGAUAGAUUUCUUUCCUGUCCAAUUUUUCACAAGCAGGCUAUGGGCAAUGUCUUUAAGAUUCAAUGCGGUGAUAUACCAGAAGCAGUGGAAAGGAAUCAAGGUGGUGACUGACGCACAAGAACAAAUCUAAUGGAAACUGCCCUUCUACAGGUAACCAGAUUUUUCUUUAUAAGGAGAUUUGUUAUUUUUCGCAUGAAAUUUACGUAUGAAGCUAAUUGAUGCAUGUUGCGGAUAACAGACAACAGAAGUAAAACCUGAAUUCUACAUUAUAAAUAGAGAUAUCAUGGAAAUUUAAUGCUUGUAAUUUAGCCUAAAUUUAUAAUCACUGAGUUAUAAUUUUGAUUUACUGAAGCAAAUUUGUCAUACAAUUUCCUUAAUGUUGUUAAUACUGGAAAAUUUUGAAUAUUGUCAUUGAGUCUGACGCUACCAAUCCAAUUUCUUGCUUAGCAAUUUACAGAGGCAGGCCAUCAAAAUUGUGGAAUGAUUUCGAUGUGAUCAAGGUUCCAAGGCAAAGGAAGGAGUAAACUUGUGCAAUAAAGGAUCGGAACGUUUUGAGUUUUUUUUUUUUUUUUUUUUUUUUUUUUUUUGGUGAUAAAUUGUCAGGACUCGAUUGUAAUGUUGUAACUGAGCUUGAAUUGAUUGGACUUGAUUGUAAUUGUAUUUGAUUUUGAUUUGUGAGUUUAUUGCUUACAUGGCAGUUAUUGAAAUGUGAUAUAAAUAUGCAGCUGAUGUAAUGCGGAUUGAAUUGUCAUUUCAUUUCUCAAAUUUUUUAUCUCCCAAGUAUGUCCAUCUUUCUCCCUUCUUCUCACUUUUCUUCUCUUUUUUUCUAUUUACCCUCUGUUUCUCAGUAAACAAACGAUAGUUAAAGAAUUAAAUUGAUAUUUUGCAGCGCCCACUUCAUCAAAUACACUCAGGAAGGUCUUUAUAAUAUUCCAUUCUACUGUACAAAAGACCUGUACCAUGCUAGUCACUAUUUCACAGCUUCAAUCACUCAAUUAUGUUAUCAAAUACAUUAGACAUAUAUAUAUAUAUAUAUAUAUAUAUAUAUAUAUAAAGAAUUAAAUUCAUCAGUUGAUUAAUAAAAAAGACAGAACUAAAUUUCUUUCUUUCGAUCAUAAACCUCAACCUCUGUCAAAGCGAUGUUCAAACAUUUCUUUUGAUCAUAUGACUUUUAUCUGAUAUCAAAUUUGGUUGGUUCAAAGUUGAUCUCAGAUCUCAGAUUAAUACAAAUGAUUCAGAGUAUAUAUANNNNNNNNNNNNNNNNNNNNNNNNNNNNNNNNNNNNNNNNNNNNNNNNNNNNNNNNNNNNNNNNNNNNNNNNNNNNNNNNNNNNNNNNNNNNNNNNNNNNNNNNNNNNNNNNNNNNNNNNNNNNNNNNNNNNNNNNNNNNNNNNNNNNNNNNNNNNNNNNNNNNNNNNNNNNNNNNNNNNNNNNNNNNNNNNNNNNNNNNNNNNNNNNNNNNNNNNNNNNNNNNNNNNNNNNNNNNNNNNNNNNNNNNNNNNNNNNNNNNNNNNNNNNNNNNNNNNNNNNNNNNNNNNNNNNNNNNNNNNNNNNNNNNNNNNNNNNNNNNNNNNNNNNNNNNNNNNNNNNNNNNNNNNNNNNNNNNNNNNNNNNNNNNNNNNNNNNNNNNNNNNNNNNNNNNNNNNNNNNNNNNNNNNNNNNNNNNNNNNNNNNNNNNNNNNNAAUGGACUUCAACAAGGCAUCAGUUAUGACUGGCAUUUUCCCAUGUUUGCUGCUGUCUGCACUCAGAUGUUCAUGAACUGCCGCAAGUUGUGCAUCUGAUAGAAGAGCUUGUAGGUCAGCUCCACUAAAUCCUUCUGUCAUACGUGCGAUGGCAUCUAAGUCAACAUCAUUGUCUAUCGGUAGCUGCAUUAAUUUGCAGAAAGCAGACAUAAGAAACGCAAAAAAAAACAGCAAUACUUUACAUGGAUUCCACCAAAAAUUAAUUCUGGGCAGAACCACUCACCUUUCGGGAAAGAACCUUAAGGAUGUCUAACCUCUCCUGCAGAGAUGGAAAAUCGCAGAAAAGAAGACGAUCUAACCUACCAGGUCUGAGCAAUGCAGCAUCAAGUAGAUCUGGUCUACUGCUCGACAAAUGUGAGAAUGAGUGAGCAUGCAAAUGAGUGGAGAGAGAGAGAGAGAGAGAUUUACAUAAAGGGUAAAUCAGAAACUAUAGCUGUAAACAUUCAACAUAAUUGAAGAAGAAAAUCCCUACAAUGUACCUUUUCCACUACAUAUCAUUUAGUACUUACUGUUAGUGCCCAUUUUGCAACUCAUAUAUUCAUGGAAAAUAAUGGAGAAUUGGUUUUUAUUGAGAUAUGGUAUGAGACUAGAAUCUGUGCUACCAUCCUAUUUAAACUAAAGCUUAUGUGCAGAACAUCAUUUGAUAAGUUACUAAGGAUGUACAACAAAUAUUUAACUCAACAAGCAAUACAAAAUUUUAUGCAUCAUGCUGUGGUACUCAUGCGCUAAAAUACUGUUAACUAUUUAUCGAGUAUCUGAUUUAAGUAAUUGAAGAGGCUACAGAGGCAUAAUGCAAAAGUAUCUUUCCACACAUAUUAGUAUUGACUAUCCAAUAAUUAGUGCCAUGAGAAUAACCUAAAAUAACAUAACUUUAACUCCAGAAAGAAACUAACCUUGUUGCAGCGAAUACGAAAACACCAUCUAAUUCCGUGAGAAACUGAGAGAGGAGAGGAAUGUUACAAUGAGAAACUUAAUUCAGAAAACGAACACAAAAAAGAAAAAAAAAUGAAAAAAAAGAAAAAUGAAAGAAAAUAUGAAACUGACUUGAUUAACAACACGAUCAGUAACACCAGUAUUGUCAUGCCCUCUUUUUGGGGCAAUGGAAUCAAAUUCAUCAAAAAAGAGAAGGCAUGGUGCUGCAGCAGUGGCUUUCGAGAAAAUAUCACGAACCUGCAACCAAAGCAAGAGCAUCCUUAACAGCCAUUUUUGCAUUAAAUUUUAUGCCAAAGAAUCACUGAACAUAUUUCCAUUUUCUCGAAAACAACCACUAGCUUACAAUACUGUGCUCUCAAUUGUCACCAAUGGAGCUACAAAUCAGUUGCAGAACAACAGUGUCAAAGGUUAUCAUAAUAAAAAGUUGUUCAGACUCCCUCUCCCCUCUUAUUUCUUGUUUACUUUCAACAAAGAUAAAAUAAUAUUAUUCAUGCAUCAAAAGUAAAAUAAAAUUAUUUAUGCAUAGAAGUUCCAUGGGAAUAUCUAUUGGUCUUCAUCUUUUGAUGUUGAAUCCCAAAGAAUUCUAUUUCAACCAAAAACAAAUGAUAGACACAUUGAAAACGCAGAAGAAAAAUAUAAACUGGUAAAAAGACAUCUUGAUAUUAAAAAAUUAAGGACCUGGUUUAUUGAACUCUUAGAAUUUAGAUACCCUAAAAGAAGCAUAAUGAUUGCAAAUAGGAACUCUCCACGAAGACCUUGGAUCACAAUUAGGACAUAGAGAGGGUUUCUGUAUGGAGAUUUAGAUUUACUAGCACAUCAUCCUUCUUAUGAUUUGUGCAUAGCACAUACUGAGCACCUCAACAAACUAAUUUAAUUGAAAACUUUUCUUAUGUUAAGAGUACCAUAUAAUCAGUUUUUAUUUGGAUUGACACAGAUCCAAAGAUAGAUAUUUUUAUCACUGUUCCAAACUUUUAAACCAACAAACAUCAAGUUGCUUCUAUAAUCCCACAACCACCCUGAUCCAAGCCAAGUUGCGUCCCUUUUAACAACUAUUCUAACUUGUGCCUUCUUUUUCAAAAAUGUCUCUAGAUAUAAAUUGAUAAAUUCAGAAUCAAGUGAGAAAGUCACAGCAUAUGUAUUAUGCAUUAAAAAAGAGCAUAGAUCAAUCAAGAUCAAGAUAAAAAAAAAAAAAAAAAGGCUUACAAGGCUGGGAUAGGUAUGUCAAUUACCAAGUGUCAUUGAGAUAUCAAGAAAGAAAAUAUAAAUCAACUAAUUGCUAUCUUACAGCUUGCUCAGAAGCACCAAUAUAUUUGUUCAACAGCUCAGGCCCUUUCACUGAUAUGAAUCGCAGGGAACAAGCAGCAGCAGCAGCACCAACAAUGUGAGUCUUUCUACAACCAGGAGGACCAUAUAAGAGAACAUUUGACCGCAGUCUUAAAGGAGCUUGGGCAAAAAUAUUUGGGAACUUUGAAGGCAAUUCAAUCAUCUGCCAUUUUAAUCAAGCAAAGAACAAACAAACAAAAAUGAAAACUUCCAAUACAACAUAGAACAAGCACGGGAAUAAAAAGAAAGGGUUAAAAUAUCAACUUAUUAGCUGACAAAAAAUCUGUCUAAGCACCAGUUAAAGAGAGAGAGAGAGAGAGAGAGAGAGAGAGAGAGACUAUGGUUUUACUAAUGUUCUGAAGUCUAUUAUCCAUGCAACACAGUGAUGAUAUAGCCGUCUCUGAAAACAUUGCCAUCAACACCACUGCCAGUCAUCAAUGUGGCCACAAUUACCAUUUUUAUAGUCACCUUUUUUCUUUUCACAAGCAACUAUAAAUCCUUUUAGGUCUAAACAUUGUCAGUCUUUUAUCUUCUAAAACACUUUAUACUUUCCCAUGUAUUUUAAAUGCUGAAAAAUUUCCAAUAUUGCAACCAAAACAAAUCAUUCUCUCAAAAAGUAUUUUCCUCUAUAUGCAAGUUUUUUCAAUGAAACAAAAGAGGCCUAAAUAAUGAAAUAUUUUCAAAUUAGCUGUUAAGGUAAGAAGUAAACUCAUUAAGCAUACAUCUUUACUAGCAUUUCUGAUGUCCUUAAGACCACCAAUAUCUUCCCAUCCAGAGCGACCACUUUCAGGAGAAGAUUUAGUAAUGUCACGCAUGGCAACAGGAAGAAACUCAUGCAUUGCCUGAGAAAAAUCAUCCCUGACCAAAGUGGGCACCUCAUGUUCUUCAAAAGUAUAUUGAGAAGGCAAAAAACGGCCAAUGCAGCAUGAACAGUUCUAUCAACCAAUAUUUCCUGACCAAAAAGAAAUCAUAUUAAAAGUUAGAAUAUGUAAGUCAGCAAAACAAGUUUGAAUUGCAAAUCUUUCACUCACAAGAUUGCACUUAUCCUAGCUUAAGAUGCACUUUUAGGCAUAAAACAUCCAUGAAACUUAACUUCAAUUAUAAACUAGAUACAUGUAGUUAACAUACAAUUCAAAGGACUUCAAUAAAAGAUUGAGAACACUGUCUCAAGUUAUGAUCAUGUUGAAAGCUUGAAUAAAUAAGCUUGUAUGUUAAUUAUGAUUUAUGAGAAUGAAACAAAUUGAAUAAAAUAGGCUAAUAAAUUGAGUAGCAUAUUCUUAAUUCUUAUUAAUAAAAGUAACAGGAAGAAGUGGGCAUAAAACAAAUAGAUGAGUUUUAUGACUCUGCAAGUUGUUAGACUCCAAUAGGCCAAAUCUAUUACAUAAAGUUAUCACAUGCCAAAUCUAUUACAUAAAGUUAUCACAUCUAUUAACUUUGUCAAAGGGAAAUCCCACAUUCAGAUCCAUCAGCCUAAUUUAGGACAGCAUAAAAGAGUGAUGAUUCUUCAAAACCUCAGAUGCACAAAUUUACUGAUUUCCAGCACUUUCAUUGACAGAAUUUGAGGAAUCAAUUCUUUGGUUAAGUAGACAUAUUGUUAGGAUUAUUAGCCAUUAAUCCCAACCUGUUGUGUUUGUUUGAUAAGAAAGUGAAAGAAAGAUUGAGAAAAUACAAAAUAGAGGAGAGAAAGAAAGGAACCGGGAAAAUAUAGUAGAAUUCUGUUAUUAUUGAUUAAUUCCAAAGAAUCACAGUUUACAACUUUAUACAUCACUAUUUAUAGUGCAAUCUAUCAAUGACACACAAGCAACAACUAUAUCUAAAAUCAGACUAUAAUUGUACCCUUAAUCCUAAGACAUGAAUAGUUCUCAUAUACCGCUGGCAGAGAAACAAAUAUAAAAGCAGUAAUCAGAAGUGAAGAUAUGUACCAGAUCAUAUGCAUCAUAACCAUCACAUUUGGAAGCUACAUCUUGCAAAACAUCGCUGGAACAUUGAAGCGAACGUCUCUGAAUUUCAUGCCUCAGUAUAGCCAGACGUUCUGAGGCAGCAGGAGCAGGAAGUUGCACAUGAAAGUCAAACCGUCCUAAAAGCAGUAAACAGAAUGCCAAAGAAAAAAAAUUACCAACAAAGGAGAAAAGGAAAAAUUAGCAACUGAUUUCUUAGAUAAGAACUCCUGUAAGCCAAAAAAAUGAAAUAAGAGAGACAAACCUGAAGUGCUCAAUGACUGGGGAAUACUCUUCAGAGUCUGCACAGAAGCUAUAAAAGCAAUUGGACCAAUUCCACAAGAGCUCUUCCUUUUUUGCUGUUCAUAAGAUACUAAUUAGGUGAAUAGGGAAUCAUGGAAACAAAUAUUGGAAACAACAUAACCAUGCCAUGCUAACAUCAGGAUUACAACAGAGGCCUCUCAAGAAGCCAGGAAAAUAACCAAAUAACUAUUUUGUGCCUUAUAACAUGUACUUGCACUAUAAAUUCAUAAAUUAUGGGCCAUUAAGCAGACUAUAUCCCAUAAAAUAGUAGGUCUUAAAGAUGCUCGCAUAAUUUAGGACUUUUCCAAUGGAAAAAGAGAAAGAAAUAACUCUGACCCUAUUUCUUUUGUAAUGCAUGCGUAUCAGGGUAGAAACAAUACUGGAACUGCAAAAAUCCCGGCAACUGACAUCACAUAGCCUCAGUAAUCAGAUCGAAACACAUAGCAAAUCAUCAAUACUAGAAAUCUAUCACUUUUGCUUGAAUGACAACUUUUUUAGCUUAUUCAUUUAAUAAUAGCUUAUGAGCCAACAGCAAAAAGAUAGCACUACACUGAAUUUUCACGAAGAAAGGGCUUGUCUCUACUUAAUGCAAAGUCGUGGCGGCAUUAUUAAAAGUACCAAAUAAACAACCAGCAAUACAAAUUUCAAUAAAAUUUGAUAAACAUGCAAGUUUGUGUGCUACCAAUCAAAGCCUCAAGGAACUAACAACUGACAUGAAGCUAUUACCCCAUAUUCAUCCAUGAUGUCCGUCAGAAAAUUUGUAAGAGCAACAACAUGAAGCUACUUCCAUAAUUACCAAGAGAUGACACGAUAACCGUCAGAUAAUCCUAAACCCUAACUCAAAUACCUUUCAGAAACUUAACAAUCGCUUCAUUCACUCAAAUAAAUUUCUCUGAUUGUGUAGAAAUCUAAUUCGAAGCACGAAGGUCAGCAAGAUCUCUCUUUCUCCAUGCGUAUUCAAUUCAAUCGUCUCGUUUAAUUCUCAAAACAUGAAUUGUUAAUUGCUCUUUUACAUUUUAAAUUUCUGCUAGUUAUUUCUAGGGUUUGUGUUGAAUUGCAUAAUAUUUUGCGAUGAUAUGGUUUUGUUAUUUUAGCGUUUAUGCUUUGUACAGUGUAUGAUUAAUUUGUCUAUAUAUUAAAAUUGUUUCUAGUGUUUAUAUGAAUUAGGGUUAAUGUUGAAUUAAUUUUUAGGUUUUAGUUUUGUUUUCUGCUGACGUAUUUUUCCCUAUCUUCCUCUAUCUAUUGGUUUAUAUUGCUAAUACUUUUUUUUAUCCUAUACUUAAUAAUACGUGUUUUUCUAUUAUUGCAUAAUUUCUUUACAUUUGUCUGCCUUUAUUUUUCAGCUGCUGCAGUAUUGAUAGAUUUCUAAUUCUUUUGCAACAAAGAGCUGAUCUUUAAAUUGUUAUGUCAUGGCAGGUUGGUUUUCUGUCUUUGUUUAAUCAUAGUCGCCGUGAGAUUCAAGAAAGGAAGUAAGGUAGAGGUAUUUGGCAAAAAAGAGGUCUCUACUGGUGCUUGGCUAUGUGCUGAAAUAAUAUCUGGGAAUGGACACACGUAUAGCGUCAAGUAUGGUUCGUUUCUGGUGAGUAAUGAAGCAAUUGUGGAAAGGGUGCCUAGAAAGGCAAUUAGGCCUUGCCCACCUCCUAUGCAAGGGGUGGAUACUUGGGUUCCUGGUAAUCUUGUUGAGGCUUUUAACAAUCUCGCCUGGAAAACAGCAAGAAUUGUGAAGGUUAUGGGUAUGAACUACUUUUGUGUUAGAAUACUUGGAUCAUCCAAAGGUUUGCGGGUCCAUAAGUCUCAUCUGAGGGUUCGACAGUGCUGGCAAGAUGGCAAAUGGUUUGUGAUUGGAAAGGUAAUAUUUUCAAUUCUAACUUGUCUGUACACAUUUGCUGUUGUUGGGAAUAGUUGAAAGCUUCUGUCACUUGUUUGCAUAUAUCGGUGAAAGUGCUGUCCCUGAAAAUGCAUGGGCAACACAGCUGCCUCAAGCAAAAGCACUGAUGGCUGGGACUGUUGUGAUUCCUCAUAGAUCUUCUGGAUAUGGCACUUGGAUAAUCGCACUAUCUUCUUUUUUUUUUUUUUUUCCUCCCCUCUUGCUUUACAACCUAACUGUCACUAUCUAGCAAGUAUUCAGCACUUUGAUUUGUUGGACCUCUUUACUGAUUAGUGGUUUUGUUCUAAACUGUGGCUUGCUUGUUGGUCACUGUUUAUUGUUGGCAGAGAUUAAAUGCUCGCAGCUCAUUGAUAGGUUGUGAUACAUUUUUCUUGAGAUUCUCAAUAUGGGAAUUUUAUCACCUUAGUUCGAAUGUAUUCUUUUUGCCUUGUGAUUCAAAUUAUCAUAUAAUCAUUUCAUGUCAUUGUAACUAGUUAUAAUUUACAUCUUCUAAUUAUCGUUGAUGGCAUUUUGAAACAGGGUCCGGAGCAUGGCGCCAUGCCUAUGGAUAAAAGACAAUCAUAUGCGUGGAUAAAGCAAUAUGUUGGAGAUGAUUCCAGUCUGGUGGAGAAAAUGACUGACAUUCCAAAGUCUUGUGUGGUUUCAACUAGAACAUUGAAGAGAGGAUCACCAUUUGGCCUGUAUGAUCUAGAUGCUAAUUCAGUAGCUGCUCAAAAGAAGAGACUGAUUAUAAAAGAUGGUAGCCAUCAACAAAUUUUUUCAUUACAUGAAUCUCCAACUUAUGAAAAGGUAGAUGCAGUUGUUUAUCCAAAUGAAUUAUUGGGUGAAAAUCAUGUGCAUUCUUCUCAUAAUAUUCCUACGGCUCAAUUUUCUAGAAUGGAUGAAAGUAGGGGAACUGAUAGUUCUCUUGUAGAGUCCUCAUUAUAUUUACAUACUGAUGAUUGUGCAUCCUCUGUUGCUAGUUCUAGUUCUAUGAGCAAUGGUGGACACAACUCAGCCUUUAGGUUUUCUAGACAGCACAGUAACAAUUUAGAGGAUUACUAUAGUGAUGCUGAAUCAUCUUCUGGAGAGGGUUAUGAGAAAGAAGGAUGUUCAGUUUCACCAGAUGAGCAAUCGGGGGUAGAAUUCCAUUAGGUCAGAAUUACUAAAAUAUUUUUGUGCAAUUGAGGAUUUAUAUGCUUCAGGGCCUUUGACAUGGGAAGAUGAAGCAAGAUUGACAAAUCUACGUCAUAUGCUUCAUAUUUCAGAUGAUGAACAUUUGAUGGUGCUAAGAAAUUUGAUACCUGCUAAUAGUACCCUUCUUUUCCGCUUUAGGGAUUAGGCUUUUUUUUUUCUCUUUCUUUUUCUUCUUCUUUUUCUAUCACUCUUCAAUAUCUCUUCCCCAUUGAUAUCAAGAUGAUGUACAGGAUUCAAAUAGCCUGGAAGAAAUUGUACAAUGUAGAUCUCAUUUGUGUAUAUUUUGAUUUAAGAAGUUGCCAUACUUAAUUCAUUAUUUUCAUUAAUGCUUUCUUUUAUUUUAUUUAUUUGGCUGGAUGUGGAUUAGAAAUUUCCUUACUGUGAACUGUGAUGUACAGUUGAAGUUAUUGUUCUAAUGGGAAUUUAUCUUAUUGCUAUUCUCGAUUUUUCCAGUUUACUGAACUUGUUUAUUGAGAUCCAAUGUGUUGACUGGCUAUGUCCUUUGCAAGUUCAGCAAAAUUGAUUCUCAGUACUUAUGAGGUGAACAAUUGAUAAUGCUUUGCAUGAGGUGCUUUUGAUAUUCAAGAGGUGGCUUUAUCAAGAUUUUGCCACAUUUUUUUCUUUUCGCUGAUCAUUUCUAUGGGAUUUUUUCAUCAAACCGUUUUCAUAUUCUGUUACAUAUGGUGUCUAGCAGCAUGGUGAUGAAUAUGCUGAUGCUUCACCAGUGCAUAUCAUGGCCAAUGUGGGAGGCUUGCUUACUUGUUUGCAGAGGCCUCAAGAUGAUGAUUCAUAGAGUAAAGCUUAUACUGGGCAUAGAUUGUUGGGCAACAUCCACACUUGAUUUCCUACAGAAACUUGUGGCUGGCUGCCCUGGCCUUUGGUAUUAUCUUUUAAUUAUCUGUUUUAUUUUAAUACCAUUAUCUGUCAAAAUUUAAUGGUGUUAACACAACAUUAUCGUACCAUGUUAAUGAAAAUAAAAUGGCCUUAAUCCUGGCGGGUUAAAACAAUGGUAAUCAAAAUCAUGAUAUAGAAGCAUGCUGCUGCAUUUAAUUCCAACGUAAGGGAUGCUCUUUUUCUGGUUUGCUAUCUGAACUCUUCAAUUGUUUGGAUAAUCUGUCGUUUUAUGCUUUUUGCUUUAGUUCUAGUUCUAUGAGCAAUGGUGGACACAACUCAGCCUUUAGGUUUUCUAGACAGCACAGUAACAAUUUAGAGGAUUACUAUAGUGAUGCUGAAUCAUCUUCUGGAGAGGGUUAUGAGAAAGAAGGAUGUUCAGUUUCACCAGAUGAGCAAUCGGGGGUAGAAUUCCAUUAGGUCAGAAUUACUAAAAUAUUUUUGUGCAAUUGAGGAUUUAUAUGCUUCAGGGCCUUUGACAUGGGAAGAUGAAGCAAGAUUGACAAAUCUACGUCAUAUGCUUCAUAUUUCAGAUGAUGAACAUUUGAUGGUGCUAAGAAAUUUGAUACCUGCUAAUAGUACACUUCUUUUCAGCUUUAGAGAUUAGGCUUUUUUUUUUCUCUUUCUUUUUCUUCUUCUUUUUCUAUCACUCUUCAAUAUCUCUUCCCCAUUGAUAUCAAGAUGAUGUACAGGAUUCAAAUAGCCUGGAAGAAAUUGUACAAUGUAGAUCUCAUUUGUGUAUAUUUUGAUUUAAGAAGUUGCCAUACUUAAUUCAUUAUUUUCAUUAAUGCUUUCUUUUAUUUUAUUUAUUUGGCUGGAUGUGGAUUAGAAAUUUCCUUACUGUGAACUGUGAUUUACAGUUGAAGUUAUUGUUCUAAUGGGAAUUUAUCUUAUUGCUAUUCUCGAUUUUUCCAGUUUACUGAACUUGUUUAUUGAGAUCCAAUGUGUUGACUGGCUAUGUCCUUUGCAAGUUCAACAAAAUUGAUUCUCAGUACUUAUGAGGUGAACAAUUGAUAAUGCUUUGCAUGAGGUGCUUUUGAUAUUCAAGAGGUGGCUUUAUCAAGAUUUUGCCACAUUUUUUUCUUUUCGCUGAUCAUUUCUAUGGGAUUUUUUCAUCAAACCGUUUUCAUAUUCUGUUACAUAUGGUGUCUAGCAGCAUGGUGAUGAAUAUGCUGAUGCUUCACCAGUGCAUAUCAUGGCCAAUGUGGGAGGCUUGCUUACUUGUUUGCAGAGGCCUCAAGAUGAUGAUUCAUAGAGUAAAGCUUAUACUGGGCAUAGAUUGUUGGGCAACAUCCACACUUGAUUUCCUACAGAAACUUGUGGCUGGCUGCCCUGGCCUUUGGUAUUAUCUUUUAAUUAUCUGUUUUAUUUUAAUACCGUUAUCUGUCAAAAUUUAAUGGUGUUAACACAACAUUAUCGUACCAUGUUAAUGAAAAUAAAAUGGCCUUAAUCCUGGCGGGUUAAAACAAUGGUAAUCAAAAUCAUGAUAUAGAAGCACGCUGCUGCAUUUAAUUCCAACGUAAGGGAUGCUCUUUUUCUGGUUUGCUAGCUGAACUCUUCAAUUGUUUGGAUAAUCUGUCGUUUUAUGCUUUUUGCUUGUUAUAUGAUGAACAUUCCAUUUGUAGUGCACUUCAGUUUCUUUAGCACGCCUUAACACUUUGGAAUUGGACAGAGUUUAGGCUGAUUAUUAUGCUGAUCCUUCACAAGGAUAUAUGGCCAUUUCCAAGACUUCUAUAAAUUGUUUCUAGAAGUCUCCAGCUGAUGACGCGUGACAUUUACCACUGUACUUCUGUUACACUUAGGAGAAACAUCUCUAAUUGAUUUCCUAUAUAAAUUCUCAAGACUUCUAUAAUUAUUAAUGAUUAAUAAAAAAUCAACAUUUCAUAAUAUAGUAUAUAUGUAGCAUUGGUUGAUGCUGAUUUUGUGUAUCCUCUGAUGGUACUUGUGUGGCUGCAAUAUCAUUUGCAAUCUGCCAUGGUGUACUAGUAUAUUCUUCGGUGGACAAUGAUGGGAGAAAGAAGGAUGCCUGCUUCCCGCUGUGAUAAAUUAAGUAUAUUGGUGCAAGAAACAUGCCCGGCACACCACCAUUUGAACUCUGGAGAAGUAAAGUUAAAAGAAUUUUGUUGAAGUUGAUUAGUAAAGCUUUUCCCUGGAAGUUUAGAUUAUGUUUAUGCUUUAUCGUUAUUAUUACAGUGUUUUAUGGAAUCAACAAUAUUGAUAUCAAAAUGCAAGAUUUGCAGCUUCUGAUGUUGGCCAUAUGUAUCUUCUGCGCAUCAGAGCUAUCACCAGGAGAUAAGCUUCUCAUUUUCAUUCUGUCUAUGCUAAAUGGAUCUAUAAGUUUCGAGAAAUGGCCAAUUACAUAGUUCAAUUUCUGUAAAAAUGGAAGUAUCAUGUAAUACUAAAAGUUACUGGUUUAUGCAGGUUUUGAUUAAAUAUUGUACUGUGUUUGUUGCUUAAGCUAGAGUUUCAACUGAACAUGAAUUCAGUGAUCAUUAUUUGUACAACGGAAAAACAUUGGUAAUAGUGUGUGUAAUUAUUCACAGUACUCGAUCUUUGUUUUUGCAACCAAGUUAGUUCUUUACUUUUUUAAGUAUAUUACCAGUUCAUUUGUAAUUGGUGGACAGUUGCUGGGUGCUGCUAUCUGUUACAUUAUUCUGUGUUUUCCCAGGUAUCAAAUUAAUCAAUUGAAUAUCUAGUUUGUUUUGUGACUUGAGAGACUUAACUUAAAUCAAUUAGAUAUAAAUGUUUCCCGUGUUUAAUUGUGGGCACAUUCGAUCAAUGCCUGAAGGUAUGCAUUUUAACGCACAUCAUUAUUUGCAGGAUGAUAAAAACGUACUAAAAUGUUAAGAGAUCCCAAAUUAAAAGGUCUAAUGCAUAAAUUUGAUAAUAUUUGUGGCAGUGCAGGAUUGAACCUUGUAGUUUAAGGGGUCAUGAAAAGAAUCGUUCCAAGUACAAGUAUGAUUAUCAGUGGCUCAGUGCUUUUAGUUAGGCAUGGACAUUUUAUGGUCUGGGCUCAUAUUUAUGGGCCUGGUGAAUCCAAGCCCAUUUUCAGAUCCAGUGUAACUUUGCAUACACCGGGGCCUAAGGAUUGCUUUGGCUUUUAAAGAGAUCAAAGCAUUUUGAACCUGCUUCUUUGCUUACUAAGUGGGUGAGGAAUUAAUUAAACGAAAAUCUAGACCAUGAAGAAGACUCAGAAGAGCAGUCCUUUUAUAGAAUGAUGUGAACUUCCAAUGCCAAUUCGGAGACUUACCAUAUAUUGGUUGCUAUACCUGUGAAUAGAAACAGAUUGGCUGCAGAAACUAGAUAUAUUAUCUAUGGAUAAUACGGUGGCUGCAAUUUACCAGAUAAUAAUUUCCAAGUCUUGAAGCAAUUUACCUCGUUAAGGGAAUUAAGUCAGAUCAAUCAUCAAGCUCUACACCACGGAUUCAAAAGGCUCCAUCUGUGCUGCAUGACAUCCAGUAUUUCCACCAACACCUUGAACCAAAAGUGUACUCCUUUGGUCCUAUCCACCAUGGUCGAUAUAAUCUUCGACGGGGAGAGGAGAUGAAGCACAAGCUAGCGGCUCAGUUUAUUAGUGAUUAUGAACUCGAUGCAAGUUCCAAAUAUGACAAAAUCUUGAAGCAGAUACGAAAUUUCAGGGAUUGUUAUGAUAAGGAUGUGAUGGAGAAAUACGAUGAUCAGCAGCUUAGCCGGAUAUUUUUUGUGGAUGGAUGUGCAUUGCUAUUCUAUGUAAUUUGCUGCACAAGUGAUGACUUGUAUAGAUUAAGGACUCUGAACAUCACUGCAAUCUUGUCUCACAAUGAUCUUUUCCUUCUGGAGAACCAACUUCCUUAUGGUCUACUAGAAAUAUUAAGGGAAGGGGCUCAAACAGGCAAAGGUAUGUAUAAUGAUGUUAUAUGCCUGUAUAUAUAUAUAUAUAUAUAUAUAUAUACCAUUUCAGCGAUAUUUUCUAGUAUCCUGUUAACAUUUUUUUGAAUACACCCACCCAGGUCUGUCCCUUCUGAUGGACGAGUUCAUAAGAAGUCAGAAUAUGGUACCAGGAAAGCCAAUAGAAACUGAAGUAGUAGAAGGAAAAUGGAAGCCUGAUCAUCUUCUUGAGCUUCUAUGGAUGAAGGUAAGAUUUCCGAAAUGGAAUUGGUCGAAAGAAAUGUUACAGCGUCCCAAAAAAAAUUAUAAAAAGAUGAGCAAUCACUCUCGGGACGUCAGUGUACUUGCCUCAUCAUCCCCAUCUUAGACUGUCAAUAAGCUUAUUCAAAGUGGUAUCCGUUUGAAGCCUAGUGAUCAGUCAACUUCAUUAACAGACAUAUCUUUUAGAGGAAGAGGAAUAUUUAAGUUGUUGAAGCUUCGACCCUUAAUCAUUGACGAGUCAACAGUGGUUAAAUUAUCAAACUUACUAGCCUAUGAAAUGUGUCCAGGUUUAAAACAUGAACUUGAGGUAAUCUCUUUCGUAUGCUUCGUUAAUUCUCUGAUUGCAGAUGUAGAAAACGUCGGAAAAUUGAUUUCUAAAGGAAUACUGGUUAAUUUACUGUCGAAGCAUGAAGAGGUUUUUAACAUUUUUCGUGAAAUGGCUAAAAACUUAGUUCCAAAUCCUCACAUUUAUAAUGAUGUCCGGUGGGAUAUUCAGAACUACUUGGAUGGCAUGAAGCCAUUGGAGGUUUGGAUGCAGGAGCUGAUUCGAGUAUAUUUUGGGGCGCCAUGGAGAACGGUAACUUUUGGGUUGUCAAUUCUUACCAUUUACUUAACGGUGGUGCAAACCAUAUAUACUGGCUUGUCUUACCACAAACAAAUGAGAGAGCAAAAAUGAAUGAAUAUAAAUUUAGAUUUUUUAUUACAAAGAGUUAGCGUGCCGUCCUUUUUUUUUUUUUUUUCAAUUGUCUUACUUCAUGUUGAUGUCGUAUUGUGUUUUGUACUUUAUGUCCAGUCUCCAGACAACUUGUAUUCUAAUCGAUAAUAUUUAUUUUUCUGUUUUUUUUAAUUAGAACAAAAGACUUCUUAUUUUAUUUUAUUAGGAAAUUACAACUUCAAUCGGUCUCUCUCCCUUCAUAUUAUAUACAUUUUUCCUUAAAUAAAGAAAAUUUUAUCACAUAUAUAUUAAUUCAAAAAAAAAAAAAAAAAUCAUUUCGCUCGCUCAAGUUCUAAAAUCCCAAAUACUAUAUUACUAAUUAUAUAAACACGACGUCUUCACACAACUUCAAUCUUUUAAUCCUUAAAUUUAAAAUCUACAAUUAGGUUCUAAUGAUAUUAUGUAAACACUAGUAGAAGGAUUUACAUAUCUAAAAAUAAUAACGAAAAAAAGACUUGUAUAUCUAAAGCUACUCAUAUGAAACAGAAUCCAAUAAUUGAACAAAGAUUGCUAUUCAACAUAAUAACAAGAAAGAGCACUCUACUCUUAAAAAUUGUUUUAAUUGCAAAGUCUCCAUUAUGGAUUAAGUAGCCAACCAACUUCCAAUAUUCAUUAAACUGAACAAAACUAUUAGAAACUUUAAUUAAAAAACAACUACUUGCUUAUUUCAUUAAACAUUAACAUUUCAUAGUGACGAACAAGAGCAACGGUCCCCCACUCAAUGACCGAGUCAGUACCCACAAGAAGUCAACUUGGAGAAUGCAAGUUGAGGCAAUGGUUAAACAAUUAGUAUUAGCUUCAAGUAGCCUUUUACAAUUCCACAAGAAAACAAUUAUAUCUGGAUCAUUUUUGAACUAUGCCUUCGCCUAAGUGCUUGUUCCUUCAUUAAUCACUUCAUCUUUCUUUGGGUAGAUUUCUUUCGUGCCCAAUUUUUCACAAGCAGGCUAUGGGUAAUGUCUUUAAGAUUCAAUGCGGUGAUGCUUUGGCUGGCCGCUGCUGGGAUUGCAUUGCUGGACAUUGGCGGUAUAUAUACAAGCUUGAAGAUAAUCUUGAGGCAUUGGAGACUACAAGAGAUCAAUUAAGAGACCUAAGGACUGAUGUGAUGCGGUUGAACGUCAAUCAGGAAAGACCAGAAAUGGCGCAGAUGGAUCGAGUUGGAGGAUGGCUCUCGAGGGUGGAUGCUGCCAUAGUUAAAAUUAAUCAGCUGCUAAGCAAAGCUAUACAAGAAAGGCAGAAGUUAUGUAUAGCAGGCUGUUGCUCCAAGAACUGCAAAUCCAGCUACACAUUUGGGAGAAGUGUUGCAAGAAGUCUAAAAGAAGCGACUACUUUGAUCAAUGAAGGAGAUUUCAAAGAAGUGGUUAUGGCAGAACCAGCAAAUCAACUUCAAGCUAAUCUUGAAAAAUUGAAGACUUCAAGACAAGAAUUAUACGCAUUAAAGGAGGAUGUCAGGCAGAAUGUAGCGUUGGAGGAAGGGCCGGAAAAGAUGCUGCUGCAACAAGUUGGCUUGUGGCUUUCAAUGGCAGAAUCGACCAUAACUGAAGCAGAUGAGCUCAUACGAGAUGGUCCACCAGAAAUUCAAAAAUUGAGUCAUGGAGAUAUUUCCAACUACAGGUUUGUCGGAAGGGUCGCCAAAAAAUUAGAAGAUGUAGCCUUUGUAAAGGCCAAAGGAGUUUUCAAAGAAUUGGUUAGAAGAAUACCUGCAGAACCAGAUUACAUAAGUCAGCUUCAAGUUGAUCUUCGAGCUUUGGAGUCUAUAAUGAAAGAAUUAAAGGCUUUAAAGGAGGGAGUGAUGAUGAGGAUCACCUUGGAGGAAGGGCCACAAAAGAAGCAGAAGCCACACGUUCAACUUUGGCUCUCGAUGCUGGAACCAACAGUGACUGUAGCGGAGGAGAUGGUAAGAAAUGGUCCACAAGAAAUUGAGAAAUUGCGUCGUAAAGACUUUUCCAGCUACGAAUUUGUGCGAAAGGUGGCCAAAGUGUUAGAAGAAGAAGUUGCUCUAAGAGCCAAAGGAGAAUUCAAAGAGAUGGUUGAGAGGGUACUUCCAGACCCAGUAGCUGAAAGGAAUGAAAAACCAACAUUUGGCAUGGAAGCGAUGCUAGAUGAUAUUUGGAGAUGGUGCACACAAGAUGAACAACUGGGCACUGUUGGCAUAUAUGGUAUGGGGGGUGUUGGCAAAACUACUCUCUUAAACCAAAUCAACAACAAGUUUGCUAGUACAACCCAUAAUUUUGAUGUUGUGAUUUGGGUGGUGGUGUCCAAGGAUUUGAAACCUGACAAGAUUCAAGAAGAUAUUUGGAAAAAGGUUGGCUUUUUUGAUGAGACGUGGGCAAAAAAAAUCCCCAGUGAGAAAGCAGAAGAUAUAUUUUAUAGGUUAAGCAGAACGAAGUUUGUAUUAUUUUUGGAUGACUUAUGGCAGAAGGUUGAUCUCAGAGACAUAGGGGUUCCUCUGCCACAAAAAAAACAUGGGUCAAUGAUAGUAUUCACGACGCGUUCCUACAAAAUAUGCAGGCAAAUGGAACCCGAAAAAAUUAUGAAAGUGGAGCCUCUGAAUCAAAGAGAAUCUUGGACCUUAUUCCAGGAGAAAGUAGGGGAUAUUCCUCCGAAUAUCCUUCCUCUAGCUACAGAUGUUGUUAAGAAGUGUGGUGGAUUGCCACUGGCACUCAUCACAAUUGGCGAUGCCAUGGCUGGCAAAGAUGCAGUCCAAGCAUGGGAACAUGCUCUCGAGGUCUUAAGAAGUUAUGCCUCGAGUUUACAAGGAAUGGAAGAUGAGGUAUUUCAAGAUAUGGAGGUUGAAGUAUUUGCAAUUUUGAAGUUUAGUUAUGAUAGCCUACACAGUGAAAAAGUCAAAUCUUGCUUCUUAUACUGUUCCUUAUUCCCGGAGGACUUCGAAAUUCUCAAGGAUGAUUUGGUACAUUAUUGGAUUUCUGAGAAUUUUUGUGCUCGAAAUGAGGGAUAUACUAUAAUUGGUUCACUUGUUCGAGUAUGCCUGUUGGAAGAAAAUGGAAAAUAUGUAAAAAUGCAUGAUGUGAUUCGUGACAUGACUUUGUGGAUAGCAUGUAAAUAUGAAAAAGACAAGGAGAAAUUUUUCGUGCAAGUGGGUGCCCAAUUAACAAAAUUUCCAGCUGUCAAAGAAUGGGAAGGAUCAAAAAGAAUGUCGUUGAUGGCAAACUCCUUUAAAAGUAUCCGAGAAGUUCCUAGAUGCGGGGAUCUUUCGACUUUAUUUCUUGGUCAUAAUAGGUUUUUGACGGAGAUCAGUGGUGAUUUCUUCCAGUAUAUGUAUUCGCUCACCGUUCUUGAUCUAUCAGAGACACGUAUAAAGAAAUUGCCAGAGGGAAUUUCAAAAUUAACCUCAUUGCAAUAUCUUAAUCUGCGUAGUACAACUAUAAGACGGUUACCAGUUGGGUUGAAGUUAUUGCAAAAGCUGAAAUAUUUGAACUUGGAGCGUAAUGAGUUGCUAAAAUUUAUUCCAAGGGGAGUCAUAUCUAGUCUGUCAUCGUCACUGCAAAUUUUGAUAAUGUGCCCAACCGGUGAUGUUGUUUCUAAAAAGGUAAAUAACUUAUUGGGUGAAGGCAAUAUGCUAAUAGAGGAGCUCCAGUGUCUUGUAAAUUUGAAUGAACUAAGCCUCACAAUAAGAAGUAUCUCUAUGCUUCAGUUGUUUCUCAGCAUCCACGAAUUAUUCAACUGUGCUCGGUCUCUGAUACUUGUAUGGUUUGAAGGUACAAAAUCUCUUAAUAUUUCCUUUACUGCUUUAGAAGAGUUGAUCGUGGAUGUUAUGGUUGGUGAGAGUUCUACACAUCAUCAUACUAUCAGCAACUCAAUGGUCUCAGCUCCAGUAUGCUUCAAUAGCCUCCGGGAAGUGAAUGUAUCGGGUAACGUCCAUCUGCGAGAGCUGACAUGGGUUGUUCUAAUCCCAAAUUUGGAAAUUUUGAUAGUGAAAUUCAAUGAGCAUAUGAAAGAAAUUGUAAGUGCUGAAAAGUUAAGUGAGGUUCAAGUUGGAAGUGAAAAUAUGAACCUAUUUUCAAAACUCCAAGUUCUUGAAUUGUCUAAUUUACCAGAACUGAAAUGCAUAUAUAGGAAUGCUGUGUCUUUUCCACUUUUGAACAGAAUACAGGUACAUGAAUGCCCAGAGCUGGAGAAUAUACCAGAAGCACUGCAAGGUUGUGCGUCACUGUUAUUAAAUAAAUUAGACUCAUAUAUGUAUGAAUAAUGAAUUAAAUUCAUUAGUUCAUUAAUAAAGAAAAAGACAGCAGUAAAUUUGUUUCUUUUGAUCAUAAACCUCAACUUCUGUCAAUGCCAUGCUCAAUCAUUUGUUUUGAUCAUAUGGCUUUUAUUUGAUAUCAAAGUUCACUGGUGCGAAGUUGAUCUCAGAUCUCCAUUAAUACAAAUGAUUCAGAGUAUAUACACAGCAGAAGUUAUAUGCAUCUUAAUGGAGUAUUAUACAUUAAUUUAAAUACGAAGAAAUUUACUAUAAUGGAGAAAAUGGAAUGAAAUAUAUGUUAGGAUAUUAUUAUAAUAAGUAUUAAUUUUGGGAGUUUCAUUGUAAUAAUUUGCGAAUACAAUUGAAAGUUAUUUUGUUACAGAGGUACCGAAUUGUUAUUAGUAAAUUGCUGAGAUGUAAGUUGAUAUGGCUUAUUUUAUCUGAUUGGGCCCCCCAUCAGCAGGCAUAUAUUAUAUAUAUACUCUUGUAAUGAGACAUUUUAGGGUUACUGAAUGAAUACACUAUUUCCCUAAACACUUUUUUCUUCAAGUACUAUGUUUAUAUAUUUAAUUUCUAUAAAAAUUCAACUUGUAAGAUCAUAUUUUUGACAUAAUUUCAAUAUCAUUAAAAUAAUUGAUGAUAGUUAAUAUUUAAACAUUUACUUUUUUUUUUUAUCAAAAUAGAAGAUUUAAAUCUGUAUCUAUUGUUCACGAAGUAUGGACACUUAUCACUGUUAACUUUGUUGGAAUAAAAAUAAAAUUCAAAAAUCAAAAUUUUCCUUAACUAAAGAAAAGUUUAUUAUAUAUUAAUAUUAAACAUUUAAAAAUUAUUCAUUUGGCUUGGCUCUCUCAAAAUUUAAAAAAUUUAUAUUCCAAUUUAAUUCGACUCUGGCUCCAUUUUAACUCUCUCUCUCUCUCUCUCUCUCUCUCUCUCUCUCUCUCAAUGAUCGUGUCUAAUAUUUUUUUUUUUUCCUCUCUUAUUUUUUUGAAAAUUAGGAUGAAAGUGCUUUUAUUUUAUUGUAAAAGGAAAUAAUUCUAUUUUGUCGUUAACUUGUACUCCACCUUAACACCCAACGCAAAAGAGAAAGAGCACUUUAACACACACACACACUUGAGAAGAAAUUCAACAAAAGUUGGCAAAAAAAUUCAACAAAAGUGUCCAUCAUUGUCCUUGGCAUCUUUUGGCUUUUUCUACAUGUUGUAAUAAUUAUCAACUUUAUGCUUUAUGUCUUUUCUAGCUUUACGUUGUUUCCUUUGAAAAAUGUGGCAUCCCACAGUAUUAUGUCUAGGAUUAUUACGUUGUAGGAUAAGAUCGCCAAAUGGGUUCAUCUCGUUGGUUCGCUUUGCCUAUAAAUAUGUAUGCUAAUCGCAUACUUUCUUAUCAAAAUUUUUCUUCGUGCGUGCUUUAUCUAUGGCCUCCGUUGGAACCAUUAAAAUCUCCGAAGAGCGAGAUACGAUCAUGUUUUGCUUGAUUUUAAAUCUUGUUUCUAAGGUCCCCAAGUAGCCGUGGUCUCGUCUAUAUAUUUGUGUACGUACUGCAGUUUUAUAAGAAGUAAAGAAACCCAAGUAUUCUCUCUUCAUUACAUCUUCACCAUAGCUGGAAAUCACCAACAGCGUUUUAAAC